ensembl:lncRNA
AGAAACUACUACCUUUGGCACAACUCCAGCAGAAACUACUACUCCAGGCACAAUGACUCAAACUGCUACUUGGCACCACCACUGCAGAAACCACUAUCAUUGGCACCACUUGUGUGAUAAAAACAACUAUGACAGAUACAGAUUCCUUAGAAUGUACCACCACUUGUACACAAACUACUCUACAGAAACUACUUCAGUAGAAACUACUACCUUUGGCACAACUCCUGCAAAAACUACUACUCCAGGCACAAUGACUCAAACUGCUACUUGGCACCACCACUGCAGAAACCACUAUCAUUGGCACCACUUGUGUGAUAAAAACAACUAUGACAGAUACAGAUUCCUUAGAAUGUACCACCACUUGUACACACACUACCCUGUAGAAACUACUUCUGUAGAAACUACUACCCUUGGCACAACUCCUGAAGAAACUACUACUCCGGGCGCAAUGUCUCAAACUGCCACUUGGCACCACUAUUGCAGAAACCACUAUCAUUGGCACCACUUGUGUGAUAAAAACAACUAUGACAGAUACAGAUUCCUUAGAAUGUACCACCACUUGUACACAAACUACUCUACAGAAACUACUUCAGUAGAAACUACUACCCUUGGCACAACUCCUGCAGAAACUACUACUCCAGGCACAAUGACUCAAACUGCUACUUGGCACCACCACUGCAGAAACCACUAUCAUUGGCACCACUUGUGUGAAAAAAACUAUGAUAGAUACAGAUUCCUUAGAAUGUACCACCACUUGUACACACACUACCCUGUAGAAACUACUUCUGUAGAAACUACUACCCUUGGCGCAACUCCUGCAGAAACUACUACUCCGGGCGCAAUGUCUCAAACUGCUACUUGGCACCACUAUUGCAGAAACCACUAUCAUUGGCACCACUUGUGUGAUAAAAACAACUAUGACAGAUACAGAUUCCUUAGAAUGUACCACCACUUGUACACAAACUACUCUACAGAAACUGCUUCUGUAGAAACUACUACCCUUGGCACAACUCCUGAAGAAACUACUACUCCGGGCACAAUGUCUCAAACUGCCACUUGGCAACACUAUUGCAGAAACCACCAUCAUUGGCACCACUUGUGUGAUAAAAACAACUAUGACAGAUACAGAUUCCUUAGAAUGUACCACCACUUGUACACAAACUACUCUACAGAAACUACUUCAGUAGAAACUACUACCCUUGGCACAACUCCUGCAGAAACUUCUACCCUUGGCACAACUCCUGCAGAAACUACUACUCCGGGCACAAUGUCUCAAACUGCCACUUGGCAACACUAUUGCAGAAACCACCAUCAUUGGCACCACUUGUGUGAUAAAAACAACUAUGACCGAUACAGAUUCCUUAGAAUGUACCACCACUUGAAUACACACUACCCUGUAGAAACAACUUCCAUAGAAACUACUACCUUUGGCACAACUCCUGCAAAAACUACUACUCCAGGCACAAUGACUCAAACUGCUACUUGGCACCACCACUGCAGAAACCGCUAUCAUUGGCACCACUUGUGUGAUAAAAACAACUAUGACAGAUACCGAUUCCUUAGAAUGUACCACCACUUAUACACACACUACUCUGUAGAAACUACUACCUUGGGAACCACUUCAAUAGAAACAACUACUCUGGGCACCACUUCUAUGUAAACUACUUGCCCUACUACCCGAUUCUUUAGAAUGUACUACCACUUGUACAUACACUAGUACUCUUGCAACCCCGUAGCAGAUAGUCCUACAGUUUCAUCACUGUAGAAAUAUCAGCAUUGGUUAAUUCAACAGUAAUAGUAUUGUAAACAUCCACACAUGUAAUGACAACUGCUGGAACAACAAUCUUUGCUAUAUCUAUGUCUGGCAUAUUGUCUGCCUUUGAAUCCUUAGUUGCUGAAAUAUAACACUUCUACAGAAAAUAUUACCCUUGGCGCACUUUUUGUGGAAAGUACUAUUCUGGCCACCACUUCUGGAGAAAGUACCAUCUUUGACUCCACUUCUCCAGAAACAACUACCCUUGGCGCCACCUUGACUGAAACACUGUUCUGAAACUCUGCAAAAUUCUGCAGUGAAUAAUCUUUGCUGCUGUUUACCUUGUGGCAACAGUGGAGGUUGCAGAUUUAAAGAUGUAUGGUGUAUGAAUGACCUGUAUGACUCUUUUAGUUGUAUCUGUGGAACAAGCAUACCAUUGAUCAUGCCACUUCUAACAAGAUAUACAAGAUGAGCAGAUUGUGGGCAAUGAGAUGAGGACAAGGUCUUGUGGUAUUCCCUAAAGACUGCUACUCUACUACAGAUACUGAUCUCUGCGCUCCUGCUUAGUAAAAUAGGAAUAUAAAUUAAUCAAUUUAAAGAUUUUCUUUUGACAAAUUGUAUAUUAAAAAUUAAUAUUUGCUGCAAUUGAUUUUUGAAAAUAUUUUAUGGUUUGUGUAAUGUAAAUGUCACUGUUAAAUGAAUAAAAGAAUUUCACUGAGGUGAUC